GACUACCGGGGUAUCUAAUCCUGUUUGCUCCCCACGCUUUCGCACCUCAGCGUCAGUGUUAGGCCAGAAGGCUGCCUUCGCCAUCGGUAUUCCUCCAGAUCUCUACGCAUUUCACCGCUACACCUGGAAUUCUACCUUCCUCUCCCACACUCUAGUGUGCCAGUAUCGGAUGCAAUGCCUAGGUUGAGCCCAGGGAUUUCACAUCCGACUUAACAUACCGCCUACGCGCGCUUUACGCCCAGUAAUUCCGAUUAACGCUUGCACCCUCUGUAUUACCGCGGCUGCUGGCACAGAGUUAGCCGGUGCUUAUUCUGCGAGUAACGUCAAUUCUUUGAAAUAUUAGUUCAAAGACCUUCCUCCUCGCUUAAAGUGCUUUACAACCCGAAGGCCUUCUUCACACACGCGGCAUGGCUGGAUCAGGCUUGCGCCCAUUGUCCAAUAUUCCCCACUGCAGCCACCCGUAGG
rnacentral:rRNA from 1 species